rnacentral:lncRNA from 1 species
CCAUUAUUACAGAUUUCCUUGUUGUGUUUUCCUUUCUGUUGACUGGCAGAGCAGAGCUUCUCAGCGAAAAGCUAGCCAGAAGAAAUGAGCUUUGAUGAGAACCAUACCCCAUGUUUUGUGUGCUCAGUGUCUCUGGAGCUGUUCGAAGACAAAGGUCUGAUUAAGACUUUUAAGGAAAAUGGUUCCCAGCACCUUUCACAUCUCUGACCCAGGAAUAAUGCAGUGCUGUCCCUAUGGGAUGUAUCUGGAAUUAAGAUAACCCAACUGACUUCACUGAAACAGCCUCCAAGCCUUCACCCCACUCAUCUCACUGUUUACCAUGAGCUCUGCAGAUGGGAAGAAGCAAAUGGGUGGGGUUAUAGGCUUAGCCUGAUGUCCCAGAAGGACAUCUACUCCUAUAGUGACAGCACCAAGGUCUGAGACUGCCUCCAACUCUUAGGACACUGCUCCAGCCUCUGAACUAACCUCUAAUAUAAAAUACUAAAAAAUACAUCAUGUGUGACUUAACAUGUGGGUGCUUGGCAGCUGGGUAGAUAUCUUCUAUUAGGACCAGCGUAGUUCCCAAAACAUCAAUUUGAGCCUAAUCUACACGAAAGUGCAACCUCAUUCACUCCUGCCCUAAGUACACAGAGGUCCUCAGAAACAAUGCUGCCCUGUAAUAUGUGGGUGUAAAUGGUUGGAAAAUAUCUCAAAAGAUAUCAAGUAGAUAAUUGAAUAUGUUGACUGCAUCACUCCUUGAAAGAGCAGCAAAGGGUGAAAACUGCUGAUGGCAAUUUCUACAGUAGAGUAAUUUAGCUCAGAGGCAAAGAGAGCGGUGAAGGAGAGAGAAUAUAUAUGUCAGCGUGGGAGAAGGUGGAUUCAUACAAGCAGGAGUGCAUUAGAGUAUGUGUGAGUGUGGAGGAGGGCUAGAAGUGAGCUUCUCAGAAUUAGGGCAAAUUCUGCAUUGAUGGAAGACCUUGCAGAGAAGUUGUGUGUGCACAUUUGUAUGUGUUUGUACACAUGUUAAAGCCAGGUGUCUCAGUGGUCCUUGGUGUUUUUUUAAGACACUUCUCUUAAAUAUAUUACCCAUUCCUGUAUGUGUAGGAAAAGAACUUGAAAGUAGCACUGAAGGCCAAGUGAAGAAUCAGAACCCAAAAGAUGUAGCAGGGAUUUUAAGCAAGCUGUAGCAAGAUUAUUUUUUUUUUUUGGGGGGGGGGAGAAAGAGU